rnacentral:sRNA from 1 species
UCUUCUCCAUCCUGAAGAAAACAGACAUCUGGUCCCAAGCCCACAAGGAAGAAGCUGAAUUGCAAAAAUAAGUGUAUCACAAACCAGACCCAAAGAGCUCUUUGCAGGAUCUUCUAAAACCUCAGACAGUGCAGAGGAAAAGUUGAUAACUGUGCAACCCACUGACCUUUCUGCCAGGGAGUUUGUGGUUUACCAGUAUGGCCUCUCCAUCCUGCACCUCCUCAUCCCCCAGCUGCAUGCUCCAGAAAUCACCCUGAAGAUUUCUUCUCAUCUUCCUGCCAUGGAAGCCCAAGGCAGUGCCUUCCAAGGUGCCUUCUUCUACCAGUGCUGAAAACACACUGUUCAUUGGGAGAGAAUGUUUGGCCUCUGUGGGAAGCUUUGUUCUGCUGCUGAUCCGCUGCCUGGCCCACAUCACUGCUGGGGAACCCCACCAGGACUCCGGCCCUGCCUUUCUGGGGUCAUUUUACAAGGGCCUGGAGGCCUAUUUCAGGGAAGCAUUCCCUAUCACACUGAGAAUGGCAGCAGUUUCCAGGGACAGUAAACUUGACCAAAGCAUAAGUGCUAUCCUGCUGGAAGAGCAGCCCAUCUCUGACAGAGGAAGAGAUCUUCUGUCUAAACUCAUUGAAAUGAAGCAUGUGUCUAUCUCCCUUGGAGCCAGAACCACUAGAAGAGUAUAUUCAGAAAAACAAAGAUCUUCUGCUCUUUACCAGUAUGGAACAUUUCCUAAAAAGCAUCCUCGCUGCAGAAUAACAAAUCCUAAGAAAACCAAGAAAUCAAUUUGGGAGUGAAGAUAAGAUCUAGAAAGAAAAUGGUAAUCUCAUUUCAGUCUGCAUGAUUAAAAGGUCUUAAAUACAUCACUACAACAUCUGAUGAAGCUGAUAAGAAUUAUUGGAAAAUCUAUAAUAUUCAUGGUAAAUCACAUAAAUGUGUAUCAUAGUUUUAGGUGUAUAUAUAAUAGGGGCUAAUAUUUGCCACAGAAGUUGAGGACCCCUGCUCACUGUGACUAAAAUUUUCAGUGUGACUAAAAUAUCAUUAGAUCAUGUAUCUUAUUAAAAUAUUUAUUAAAGAUAUUGACUAAAACUCUUUCUGGGAAUGU